rnacentral:rRNA from 1 species
GGACUACCGGGGUAUCUAAUCCUGUUUGCUCCCCACGCUUUCGCGCCUCAGCGUCAGUUACGGUCCAGAGAGCCGCCUUCGCCACCGGUGUUCUUCCCAAUAUCUACGAAUUUCACCUCUACACUGGGAAUUCCACUCUCCUCUCCCGUACUCCAGCCUCAGAGUAUCAAAUGCCAUUCCCAGGUUGAGCCCGGGGCUUUCACAUCUGACUUCUAAGGCCGCCUGCGCGCCCUUUACGCCCAGUAAUUCCGAACAACGCUCGCCCCCUUCGUAUUACCGCGGCUGCUGGCAC